GAUGAACGCUGGCGGCGUGCUUAACACAUGCAAGUCGAACGGAAAGGCCCAAGCUUGCUUGGGUACUCGAGUGGCGAACGGGUGAGUAACACGUGGGUGAUCUGCCCUGCACUUCGGGAUAAGCCUGGGAAACUGGGUCUAAUACCGGAUAGGACCACUUCUUGGAUGUUGUGGUGGAAAGUUUUUUCGGUGUGGGAUGAGCUCGCGGCCUGUCAGCUUGUUGGUGGGGUAAUGGCCUACCAAGGCGUCGGCGGGUAGCCGGCCUGGGAGGGUGUACGGCCACAUUGGGACUGAGAGACGGCCCAGACUCCUACGGGAGGCAGCAGUGGGGAAUAUUGCACAAUGGGCGCAAGCCUGAUGCAGCGACGCCGCGUGGGGGAUGACGGCCUUCGGGUUGUAAACUCCUUUCGCUAGGGACGAAGCGUUUUGUGACGGUACCUGGAGAAGAAGCACCGGCUAACUACGUG
rnacentral:rRNA from 1 species